CCUAUUUUCACAUCAACAGUCUAAAAGUAGUCUAAAGAUAGACAUUGCUUCUAAUUUGGUUUUGAUCAUUUCAAAACUACUUUUGCUUCUUCCUGCAGCUUCCAUCUUCUACCCCCCUCUCUCUAUAUCUAUUUUCCCUCAAUUACUCUCUUUUCUCCCAACCACUUUUCUUCCUUUCUUCUUUCUAUAUGCUUGCUAAAUCCCUCAAAUUCGUCUCUCUUUAUUUCUUCUUCAUUUUCUCACAAUCUUUCAUUCAUUUAUAUGCAAUCUCUCACAUUUCUUUUUGUUUUUUGUUUUUCCAGGUUGUAGAUCUAUAUGAAGAUGCAAACUAACAUUAAAAAAAUAUGAAAAAUAUUGUAGAUCAACAAAAGUGAAGGUGUAUAAGGUUAAACAACAUCGAUAAAAUAAAAAUUAUCUAAAAAAUAUAAAAAAUAUAGUGGAUGGCAUUUUAGAUUGAAAAAUGUUGUCUUUGUUUGGAACAAAGAGAUGGUGAGAAACCGUGAAAAGAGAGUGAGAGUUUAGCAAAUGUUGAUUUUUUUCUGAGGAGGAAGGAAGUGAUUCUAAAGAGAUGUUGGCUUGCUCUCUACUGGAUUUGAGGAAACUUGCUUCUUGAAGAUUCUUAAUGAAUAAAUGUGUUAUGGACAGAAAACACCUGUCUCAGUUUAUCUUUUUAUAUCUUUCAGGAGGAAGGAAGUGGUUCUAAAGAGAUGUUGGCUUGCUCUCUACUGGAUUUGAGGAAACUUGCUUCUUGAAGAUUCUUAAUGAAUAAAUGUGUUAUGGACAAAAAAUAGUUUGUUUUGGGUCAUUAGAAACCAUCAACAGUAAA